GAUGAACGCUGGCGGCGUGCCUAAUACAUGCAAGUCGAACGCAUUGAGAGAAGUGCUUGCACUUUUCAAUUUGAGUGGCGAACGGGUGAGUAACACGUGGGCAACCUACCUGAUAGCGGGGGAUAACGAGUGGAAACAUUCGCUAAUACCGCAUAACAAUAGAGAAGGCAUCUUCUUUAUUUAAAAGGCGCUUUCAAGCGUCACUAUCAGAUGGGCCCGCGGUGCAUUAGUUAGUUGGUGGGGUGAAGGCCUACCAAGACGAUGAUGCAUAGCCGAGUUGCGAGACUGAUCGGCCACAUUGGGACUGAGACACGGCCCAAACUCCUACGGGAGGCUGCAGUAGGGAAUCUUCCACAAUGGACGAAAGUCUGAUGGAGCAACGCCGCGUGUGUGAAGAAGGCCUUCGGGUCGUAAAGCACUUUAAGUUGGGAGGAAGGGCUUACGGUUAAUACCUGUGAGUUUUGACGUUACCAACAGAAUAAGCACCGGCUAACUUCGUGCCAGCCGCCGCCGUAA
rnacentral:rRNA from 1 species